UCCUACGGGAGGCAGCAGUGGGGAAUCUUAGACAAUGGGGGCAACCCUGAUCUAGCCAUGCCGCGUGAGUGAUGAAGGCCUUAGGGUCGUAAAGCUCUUUCGCCUGUGAUGAUAAUGACAGUAGCAGGUAAAGAAACCCCGGCUAACUCCGUGCCAGCAGCCGCGGUAAUACGGAGGGGGUUAGCGUUGUUCGGAAUUACUGGGCGUAAAGCGCGCGUAGGCGGAUUAGAAAGUUGGGGGUGAAAUCCCGGGGCUCAACCUCGGAACUGCCUCCAAAACUGCUAGUCUAGAGUUCGAGAGAGGUGAGUGGAAUUCCGAGUGUAGAGGUGAAAUUCGUAGAUAUUCGGAGGAACACCAGUGGCGAAGGCGGCUCACUGGCUCGAUACUGACGCUGAGGUGCGAAAGUGUGGGGAGCAAACAGGAUUAGAUACCCUGGUAGUCCACACCGUAAACGAUGAAUGCCAGUCGUCGGGUAGUAUACUAUUCGGUGACACACCUAACGGAUUAAGCAUUCCGCCUGGGGAGUACGGUCGCAAGAUUAAAACUCAAAUGAAUUGACGGA
rnacentral:rRNA from 1 species